CACGUAGGGCGCAAGCGUUGUCCGGAAUUAUUGGGCGUAAAGAGCUCGUAGGCGGUCUGUUGCGUCCGCUGUGAAAACCCGGGGCUUAACCCCUGGCUUGCAGUGGAUACGGACAGACUAGAGGUAGGUAGGGGAGAAUGGAAUUCCCGGUGUAGCGGUGAAAUGCGCAGAUAUCGGGAGGAACACCGGUGGCGAAGGCGGUUCUCUGGACAGUUCCUGACGCUGAGGCACGAAGGUCAGGGGAGCAAACGGG
rnacentral:rRNA from 1 species